GGGUCAGUAGGUUGGUCGUGCCACCGGUACGUACUGGUCUCACUGAUUCCUCCUUCCUGAAGAACCGUGAUGCCAUUAAUUUGGUGUUGCGGGAAAACAGGACUGUUACUUUGAAAAAAUUAGAGUGUUUAAAGCAAGCUAACGCUUGAAUACAUUAGCAUGGAAUAAUGAAAUAGGACGAUCGAUCCUAUUUUGUUGGUUUCUAGGAUUGACGUA
rnacentral:rRNA from 1 species